rnacentral:lncRNA from 1 species
AGCCCAAUCUUAGAAGUUAAGAUCCAUUGUGGAUCAGGUUCAGACCUGAGCAGCAAUAUGGAUAGUGACAGGCCAUAAGCCUUAACUCACACAAAGAAGGGGUGAGGGUAAAGGGAAUUCAUGAUAAACAGCACAUGCAAAGAGAAAGUAGCAUUUUCAUUACAUAACAUGAACAACAAAGUAGACAGGAGUAUAGAAACUAAAGUAAACACAUAAGGAAGAAGCUGAAAUCAAAUUGAGACAUACCAGUUUCAGAAAAACAAAUAAGUGAAGGCAUGUGUCUUGUAAGCCAAAUUGCAAGAAAAUAGUACAAGAGAAUUCAUAAGAGAGUAGAGUAUUGAAAGAGUAUCGCAACCAAGAGUGAGAAUGUUGAAUUUGAAGUGUUCAACAAUCAUGAUGUCUAUAGAAGGGUCGUGCCCCC